GUAAUUAUUACAAUACUUUCCGCCAGAGAACUACAAGUGAAAAACUUGAAACUCAAAGGACUUGACGGUGUCCCAUAUCGACCUAGAGGAGCCUGUCCUAUAAUCGAUACCCCCCGUUCCACCCAACCUCAACUAGCAAAAUAUCAGCCUAUAUACCGCCGUCGACAGUCUACCCCAUGAGGGUUCAACAGUAGACACAAUAGCCUUAACGCUAAUACGUCAGGUCAAGGUGUAGCAAAUGUUGAGGAAAAGAUUGGCUACAUUUUUUAUGAUAAAAAACACGAAUUGCACUAUGAAACACUGCAUGAAGGUGAAUUUAGUAGUAAAACAGACAAGAGUGUCUGUUUUAACAACGCUCUGGGACGCGU
rnacentral:rRNA from 1 species